GAUGAACGCUGGCGGCGUGCCUAAUACAUGCAAGUCGUGCGGGGGAAGAUCCUUCGGGAUCGGAUCCAGCGGCGAACGGGUGAGUAACACGUGGGCAACCUGCCCGCAAGACGGGGAUAACUCCGGGAAACCGGUGCUAAUACCCGAUAAUCCCGGCUCCCGCAUGGGAGCGGGGUGAAAGGCGGCUUCGGCUGUCACUUGCGGAUGGGCCCGCGGCGCAUUAGCUGGUUGGUGAGGUAACGGCUCACCAAGGCGACGAUGCGUAGCCGACCUGAGAGGGUGAUCGGCCACACUGGGACUGAGACACGGCCCAGACUCCUACGGGAGGCAGCAGUAGGGAAUUUUCCGCAAUGGGCGCAAGCCUGACGGAGCAACGCCGCGUGAGUGAGGACGGCCUUCGGGUUGUAAAACUCUGUUCUUGAGGAAGAACCCUUCCGAGGCGAACAGCCUCGGAAGUUGACGGUACUCAAGGAGAAAGCCCCGGCUAACUAC
rnacentral:rRNA from 1 species